rnacentral:rRNA from 1 species
GAAAUGACUCAUGUAGCGCAUCUUGACGUUUCGCCCGACCGAUGCACACAUCCUUGAUUGCCUAC